CUGGCCUGAAGGGAUGAGGAGGCAUGCUCAAACAACGUUUCCUUAAGAUAUAAAAUGAAAUAUUUUGGGCUCGCCCAAAAUAGCCAUCCCCAACGACCAAAUUAACUUCCAUUUCUCAAGAAGACAUUCUAAAUACGUUAAAAGCCAUGAACAUGACUAAAUAUUGGAAAUGUAAGCACGUUAUAUGUGUGAGUUCUAAACAACUCGACGAAGCUCUACUUAAA